rnacentral:ribozyme from 16 species
UUUUUUUUUUUUUUUUUUUUUUUCUCUUUUUUUUUUUUUUCUUUUUUUUCUUUUUUUUACAAAUCCCGGAACAGAGGCUGA